AGGGUUACCGGUUCCGGUGGCUUU
rnacentral:siRNA from 1 species